CUUAAUCUACACAGGAAUGCUGUCUGACCCUAGUGCAGCUGUAAGCAAGUGGGUCAGAUCUGCUGGGUAAAGAGACUGUAGGCUACGGUCGAUCUGCCUCUUCCUCCCCUACAGGCUUGACUAAAGUGAAAUGAUGGCCGAAAUCAUUGCUGUGAACAUCUCGGACACAUCCGCCACCUUCUUCCUGCCCCCAUCUCCUGUCCUUGAGGACUCUGGCUUUCCCCUGGCCUCGCUGGACAGUGAGGACUAUGUGUUUGUUGAGGCCAGGCACCCCAACAAGGUCCUGGAGGGCCUGAACAGCCUGCGUCUCAACAAUGCCUUCUGUGAUGUGACACUGUGCUGUGGGGGCAGGAGUUCCCUGUCACCGUAUCGUACUGGCUUCCUUUAGCUCCUACUUCCAGGCCAUGUUCUCCACAGACCUGAUGGAGUCCAGACAGGAGCGGGUGGCCAUCAACGGAGUGGAGUCCCAGAUGAUUGGCAUGCUGGUCAGCUACGCCUACACGGCUGAGGUGGUCAUCUCCAAGGCCAACGUGCAGGCCCUGCUGGCUGCGGCCAACCUCUUGGAUGUGAUGGCAGUGCGUGAAGCCUGCUGCCGCUUCAUGGAGCGCCAGAUGGAUGAGAUGAACUGUGUGGGCAUCCACUGCUUCGCUGAGGCCCACUCCUGUAGGGAGCUGGAGAAACACAGCAUGGACUACAUCCUCCAGCACUUCGGCAGUGUCUGCCAACAGGAGGAGUUCCUCUCUCUGUGUGCAGACAAGCUGACGGAGAUCAUCGCCAGCGACCACCUGAACGUAGCCAAGGAGGAGACUGUGUUCGAGGCCACCAUGCUGUGGCUGGACAAGAGCGCCACCCGCAGGCAGAGCUUUGAAAAGGUCUUGGAGCACAUCCGCCUGCCCCUGAUCAGCCCGUACUACAUCCACGAUGUGAUUGAGUCUCUGGAGGUGGUCCGGGAGUCCCAGCGCUGUCAGAGGCUCAUCUCUGAGGCCAAGGACUACCUGCUGCUACAGGACCGACGAGGAGAGUUCUACUGCCCCCGAGCACGCCCACGUAGGUCCACAGGGACAGCUGAGGUGAUUGUGACGGUGGGGGGAGAGGACGAUAAGGUGGUGCUGCGUAGCGUGGAGAGUUUUGACCCCCUUACCAGCCAGUGGAAGAGUCUGGCCUGCCUGCCCUUCGCUGUCAGUAAACAUGGCCUGGUGGUUUCAGGCUCCACUCUGUACCUGGCUGGAGGGGAGUUCCCUGAUGGCUCAGCCAGCAGAGAGAUGUGGCGCUAUGACCCCUGCUUCGACUCCUGGCUGGAGAUGGCCCCCAUGAACGUAGCUCGCUCAGAGCUAGGUUUGGUGAUGCUGGAUGGCUAUGUGUUUGCAGUGGGGGGCUGGGAGGGCCGUUCCCGCCUGGACUCUGUAGAGUGCUACAACCCCCACACCAACACUUGGCAGUUCAUGGAGUCAGUCAAGAUGGCCGUCACCAGCCCUGCUGUGGUGGCACUGGAUGGACUGCUCUAUGUCACAGGUGGUGCUGUUCUAGAGGAUGGUGACGGCACAGACCUGGCCCAGGUGUACAACCCUAAAACGUCUGUAUGGACUGAGGUGGCCCCCAUGCAGAUCGCUCGCUCCGGCUCUGCUGCCUGCACCCUGAAGGGGAAAAUCUACGUCAUAGGUGGCUGGCAUGCGUCCACAGAGAACACAGACAAGGUGGAGUGUUACGACCCCAAGAGUAACCAGUGGACCAUGUGUGCCCAUAUGAGGGAGAGGCGCUACCGGCCCGGUGUGGCCGUGGUGGACGGCAAGAUCUACGUGCUGGGUGGAGAGGAGGGCUGGGACAGGUACCACGACACCAUCGAGCGGUACUGUGAGGAGACAGACAGCUGGGAGAUCGUGGGGGAGAUGCCCACCAGCCGGAGCUGGCUGAGCUGUGUCUCUCUGCAGCUGAGGAAGGAUGCCCAUGGGGGCAGCCGCCCGGCACUGCCUCGGAGACCGAGUUCUCUGUGGACUGAGGGAGAACUCCAGACGGAGGUCCUUGUACCAUUCAUUUAUAUUGCUCCAGACUGCCACCUUUUGGAGAGCUCUGAGUAUGCAUCUCUGCCAAACAGUCAACCUGACCCUGGCUGUUCAGGUGCUGUACAGAAGUCACUCUGUGCCAGAGACAAUGCCAGAGGGCAGCUAACUACCUUAGUAGGGCUGGUAUUCUGUCUCAUCGUGAGUCUUGACCUUGCCAAGUGACUGCGCCUCAAGGCUUAACUCAUGGAGAAGGACAGUUGUGUGACUGCCUCAAUGGCAAGCCUGACAAAAGUGGUCUUUAUUUCACCAUGAAAGCCUGUUCUCUUACUCAAUGGCAUGGUUCCAUUCUGUUGCCAUGUCACUGUGUCCAUGGUAACGGUAUCAUUUAGGAUGGAUGACCCUCGUCACACACUUAUGGAACCCUCUCUUUUAAUGUUACGUGAACGUUUGGGGUCAGGGUGUUUCAUUAAACUGUCACCAAGAUGUUCUCUCCACAACCAUCACAGUCUAUUUUUGCAUUAUUUGUAUGUGACGUUUAGUAUUUAUUUGAUGUCUUGAGUUGAUGGCCCAUUUUAUUACAAUUGGAAGAUCAUUAUUUUUCCCGUUUAUAAAAGAUGCUCUUUAUUGGCCAAAGAAUCUAUUGUGAACCAGUAUUUAAGACUAAUUAGUGAACAAAAGCCAAACCUGUUAAGUGUUUUGUCAUGCAAAUUUGGAAGGUAUGUUCACAAUUGCCUUUUGACUGCCUGUUAUAUGGUUUAGUUUAUAUGUCUAAUUGGUAUGCUUAGUAAAUGUUGCUUUUGAGUAGUCAUUUUAAUUCUGUAAAAGUGGAAAUGUGAAUUUAAUAAAAGCACAUGGAUGCCAAUA